rfam:Rattus norvegicus strain BN; Sprague-Dawley chromosome 17 CRA_213000034356185, whole genome shotgun sequence.
UGCUUUUGCAGUUUAAAUGGGUGUGGUGCUAAGUAUAUCUUGUUUAUCUUUCUGUGGAAAAAGUUUUCAAGUCUGGUGGAGUUUGUCACCUCAUGCCGGUUGCCUAGCACUAUCAAGUGGAUCCCUACCUAGCAACAGAGAGUGGGUGAUCGCGGGAGCUUGUU